GGGUUGUGAGGUUAAGCGACUAAGCGUACACGGUGGAUGCCCUGGCAGUCAGAGGCGAUGAAGGACGUGCUAAUCUGCGAUAAGCGUCGGUAAGGUGAUAUGAACCGUUAUAACCGGCGAUUUCCGAAUGGGGAAACCCAGUGUGUUUCGACACACUAUCAUUAACUGAAUCCAUAGGUUAAUGAGGCGAACCGGGGGAACUGAAACAUCUAAGUACCCCGAGGAAAAGAAAUCAACCGAGAUUCCCCCAGUAGCGGCGAGCGAACGGGGAGGAGCCCAGAGCCUGAAUCAGUGUGUGUGUUAGUGGAAGCGUCUGGAAAGGCGCGCGAUACAGGGUGACAGCCCCGUACACAAAAAUGCACAUGCUGUGAGCUCGAUGAGUAGGGCGGGACACGUGGUAUCCUGUCUGAAUAUGGGGGGACCAUCCUCCAAGGCUAAAUACUCCUGACUGACCGAUAGUGAACCAGUACCGUGAGGGAAAGGCGAAAAGAACCCCGGCGAGGGGAGUGAAAAAGAACCUGAAACCGUGUACGUACAAGCAGUGGGAGCACGCUUAGGCGUGUGACUGCGUACCUUUUGUAUAAUGGGUCAGCGACUUAUAUUCUGUAGCAAGGUUAACCGAAUAGGGGAGCCGAAGGGAAACCGAGUCUUAACUGGGCGUUAAGUUGCAGGGUAUAGACCCGAAACCCGGUGAUCUAGCCAUGGGCAGGUUGAAGGUUGGGUAACACUAACUGGAGGACCGAACCGACUAAUGUUGAAAAAUUAGCGGAUGACUUGUGGCUGGGGGUGAAAGGCCAAUCAAACCGGGAGAUAGCUGGUUCUCCCCGAAAGCUAUUUAGGUAGCGCCUCGUGAAUUCAUCUCCGGGGGUAGAGCACUGUUUCGGCAAGGGGGUCAUCCCGACUUACCAACCCGAUGCAAACUGCGAAUACCGGAGAAUGUUAUCACGGGAGACACACGGCGGGUGCUAACGUCCGUCGUGAAGAGGGAAACAACCCAGACCGCCAGCUAAGGUCCCAAAGUCAUGGUUAAGUGGGAAACGAUGUGGGAAGGCCCAGACAGCCAGGAUGUUGGCUUAGAAGCAGCCAUCAUUUAAAGAAAGCGUAAUAGCUCACUGGUCGAGUCGGCCUGCGCGGAAGAUGUAACGGGGCUAAACCAUGCACCGAAGCUGCGGCAGCGACGCUUAUGCGUUGUUGGGUAGGGGAGCGUUCUGUAAGCCUGCGAAGGUGUGCUGUGAGGCACGCUGGAGGUAUCAGAAGUGCGAAUGCUGACAUAAGUAACGAUAAAGCGGGUGAAAAGCCCGCUCGCCGGAAGACCAAGGGUUCCUGUCCAACGUUAAUCGGGGCAGGGUGAGUCGACCCCUAAGGCGAGGCCGAAAGGCGUAGUCGAUGGGAAACAGGUUAAUAUUCCUGUACUUGGUGUUACUGCGAAGGGGGGACGGAGAAGGCUAUGUUGGCCGGGCGACGGUUGUCCCGGUUUAAGCGUGUAGGCUGGUUUUCCAGGCAAAUCCGGAAAAUCAAGGCUGAGGCGUGAUGACGAGGCACUACGGUGCUGAAGCAACAAAUGCCCUGCUUCCAGGAAAAGCCUCUAAGCAUCAGGUAACAUCAAAUCGUACCCCAAACCGACACAGGUGGUCAGGUAGAGAAUACCAAGGCGCUUGAGAGAACUCGGGUGAAGGAACUAGGCAAAAUGGUGCCGUAACUUCGGGAGAAGGCACGCUGAUAUGUAGGUGAAGUCCCUCGCGGAUGGAGCUGAAAUCAGUCGAAGAUACCAGCUGGCUGCAACUGUUUAUUAAAAACACAGCACUGUGCAAACACGAAAGUGGACGUAUACGGUGUGACGCCUGCCCGGUGCCGGAAGGUUAAUUGAUGGGGUUAGCGCAAGCGAAGCUCUUGAUCGAAGCCCCGGUAAACGGCGGCCGUAACUAUAACGGUCCUAAGGUAGCGAAAUUCCUUGUCGGGUAAGUUCCGACCUGCACGAAUGGCGUAAUGAUGGCCAGGCUGUCUCCACCCGAGACUCAGUGAAAUUGAACUCGCUGUGAAGAUGCAGUGUACCCGCGGCAAGACGGAAAGACCCCGUGAACCUUUACUAUAGCUUGACACUGAACAUUGAGCCUUGAUGUGUAGGAUAGGUGGGAGGCUUUGAAGUGUGGACGCCAGUCUGCAUGGAGCCGACCUUGAAAUACCACCCUUUAAUGUUUGAUGUUCUAACGUUGACCCGUGAUCCGGGUUGCGGACAGUGUCUGGUGGGUAGUUUGACUGGGGCGGUCUCCUCCUAAAGAGUAACGGAGGAGCACGAAGGUUGGCUAAUCCUGGUCGGACAUCAGGAGGUUAGUGCAAUGGCAUAAGCCAGCUUGACUGCGAGCGUGACGGCGCGAGCAGGUGCGAAAGCAGGUCAUAGUGAUCCGGUGGUUCUGAAUGGAAGGGCCAUCGCUCAACGGAUAAAAGGUACUCCGGGGAUAACAGGCUGAUACCGCCCAAGAGUUCAUAUCGACGGCGGUGUUUGGCACCUCGAUGUCGGCUCAUCACAUCCUGGGGCUGAAGUAGGUCCCAAGGGUAUGGCUGUUCGCCAUUUAAAGUGGUACGCGAGCUGGGUUUAGAACGUCGUGAGACAGUUCGGUCCCUAUCUGCCGUGGGCGCUGGAGAACUGAGGGGGGCUGCUCCUAGUACGAGAGGACCGGAGUGGACGCAUCACUGGUGUUCGGGUUGUCAUGCCAAUGGCACUGCCCGGUAGCUAAAUGCGGAAGAGAUAAGUGCUGAAAGCAUCUAAGCACGAAACUUGCCCCGAGAUGAGUUCUCCCUGACCCUUUAAGGGUCCUGAAGGAACGUUGAAGACGACGACGUUGAUAGGCCGGGUGUGUAAGCGCAGCGAUGCGUUGAGCUAACCGGUACUAAUGAACCGUGAGGCUUAACCUUACAACGCCGAAG
rnacentral:rRNA from 1 species